GUGCUCACUCUGGCAGCACAUAUACUAAAAUCAAAAGGACACAGAGAAGGUUAGCAUGGCCCCUGUGCAAGCAUUCCACUUUUUAAAUGACAGUUUCAUCUUAUACUU